UGGAAGAUGUAUAGGAAACUAUGGGCCGCACGAUAUCUAAAGCCCAGUAGCUAAUCCCCACGAGCCGCUUGAUUCCCGUGGCCAUUUUCGAGCAAGGUCGUGCGCCCGCCAAUGGCGCGGGCUGCGGCGCGGCAGUGGCAGCUUCCACGGUUCUCCGCUCCUCCACCUAUCGCGUCGCCUCCCAUUAGCACAUGACCUCCACCUCCCGCGUCGCGUGCUCCCCGAGCUCCCGAUGUCGCGGCCGCCUACGCCCGCGCCGGGGCCGGGGCCCCUCGCCAACGCCUCCUUCUCCCGCCUCUUCCAGCACUGCGCCCAAGCCGGCCGCGCGGCACUCGCCGCGGGCCGCACCGCGCACGCGCGCAUGCUCGUGUCCGGGUUCGUCCCCACGGCCUUCGUCUCCAACUGCCUCCUCCAGAUGUACGCGCGCUGCGCGGGCGCCGCCCGCGCGCGCAGGGUGUUCGACGCGAUGCCCCACAGGGACACGGUCUCGUGGAACACCAUUCUCACGGCGUACUCUCACGCGGGGGACAUCGACACAGCGGUCUCGCUGUUCGAUGCGAUGCCUGACCCGGACGUCGUGUCAUGGAACGCGCUGGUGUCGAGCUACUGCCAGCGUGGCAUGCUUCGGGAGUCGGUGGGCUUGUAUCUCGAGAUGGCUCGCCGCGGUGUUGCCUCCGAUCGGACGACGUUCUCUGUCCUGCUGAAGGCGUGCGGUGGUUUGGAGGACUUGGCGCUCGGUGUUCAAAUCCAUGCGUUGGCAGUGAAGACGGGCCUAGAGGUUGAUGUCCGGACCGCGAGUGCUCUUGUGGACAUGUAUGGCAAGUGCAGGAGUUUGGAAGACGCACUGUGCUUCUUUCGUGGUAUGCCUGAGAGAAACUGGGUCUCGUGGGGUGCAGCUAUCGCUGGAUGUGUUCAGAAUGAGCAGUACACGCGUGGGCUGGAGUUGUUCGCGGACAUGCAGAGGUUGGGACUCGGGGUGAGCCAGCCGGCUUAUGCCAGUGUCUUUAGAUCCUGCGCAGCAAUGUCAUGUCUGAGCACUGCUAGGCAGUUACAUGCGCAUGCCAUAAAGAACAAGUUUAAUUCUGACCGUAUUGUUGGGACAGCCAUUGUGGACGUGUAUGCUAAGGCUAAUAGCUUGGUCGAUGCUAGAAGGGCAUUCUUUGGUUUGCCCAACCAUACCGUGGAGACAUGCAAUGCCAUGAUGGUUGGGCUUGUACGUGCAGGGCUUGGAGUUGAGGCCAUGGAACUGUUUCAAUUCAUGAUCAGAUCUGGCAUUGGUUUUGAUGUAGUCAGCUUGUCAGGUGUUUUCAGUGCUUGUGCUGAGGUUAAGGGGUAUUUUCAAGGGUUGCAAGUCCACUGCUUAGCAAUUAAAUCAGGUUUUGAUGUGGACGUUUGUGUCAGAAAUGCAGUUCUUGAUCUGUAUGGGAAGUGCAAAGGAUUGGCAGAAGCAUACCUUAUCUUCCAGGAGAUGGAGCAAAGAGAUUCGGUCUCUUGGAAUGCUAUUAUUGCGGCUCUUGAGCAAAAUGAGCGCUAUGAGGAUACUAUAGCUCAUUUUAAUGAAAUGCUGCGCUAUGGUAUGGAACCUGAUGAUUUCACUUAUGGUAGUGUUCUUAAGGCCUGCGCAGGUUUACAAUCUUUAGAGUAUGGAUUGAUGGUUCAUGACAAAGUUAUCAAGUCGGGACUUGGUUCAGAUGCUUUUGUAGCGAGCAUUGUCAUUGACAUGUACUGCAAGUGUGACAUGAUUAUGGAGGCUCGGAAACUUCAUGACAGAAUUGGGAGGAAGGAACUUGUUUCGUGGAAUGCCAUCAUUUCAGGAUUUUCACACAGCAAACAGAGUGAAGAAGCACAGAAAUUCUUCUCGAAGAUGCUAUAUAUGGGACUAAAGCCUGAUCAUUUCACAUAUGCAACUGUUCUUGAUACUUGUGCUAACCUGGCCACCAUUGAGCUCGGGAAACAGAUCCAUGUUCAGAUUAUCAAGCAGGAAAUGCUAGGAGAUGAAUACAUAUCCAGCACUCUUGUAGACAUGUAUGCUAAGUGUGGAAACAUGUCAGACUCGCUGCUAAUGUUUGAGAAGGCACAAAAACGGGAUUUCGUGUCAUGGAAUGCUAUGAUAUGUGGCUACGCACUCCAUGGCCAAGGAGUAGAAGCACUCAAGAUGUUUGAGAGGAUGCAAAAAGAGAAUGUUGUGCCCAAUCAUGCAACUUUCGUUGCAGUGCUUCGGGCAUGCAGCCAUGUUGGGCUGCUGGACGAUGGAUGCCGCUACUUCCAUCUGAUGACCACCUGCUACAAAUUGGAACCACAACUGGAGCACUUUGCUUGCAUGGUGGAUAUACUAGGACGCUCAAAGGGCCCACAGGAAGCUCUGAAGUUUAUCAGUAACAUGCCUUUUGAAGCAGAUGCAGUCAUAUGGAAGACUCUCCUAAGCAUUUGCAAGAUCCGUCAAGAUGUCGAGGUGGCUGAACUUGCUGCCAGCAAAGUUCUACUGCUGGAUCCUGACGAUUCUUCAGUUUACAUUCUUCUCUCAAAUGUAUAUGCAGAAUCAGGGAAAUGGGUUGAUGUUUCAAGGACAAGAAGGCUAAUGAGGCAGGGGCGGCUGAAGAAGGAACCUGGUUGUAGCUGGAUUGAGGUGCAAAGUGAAAUGCACGGUUUCCUUGUAGGAGAUAAGGUCCAUCCGAGAUCGAGGGAGCUAUAUGAGAUGUUGAGUGAUUUGAUUGCUGAGAUGAAACUCUCUGGAUAUGAGCCUGAUUCAGCUUCUGUUGUUGAGGUUGAUGAAGAGGGGUGUGCAUCUGAGCAAGAUGACUUACUUGGAAUUGUUGGUGAUUAAUCUGUUUUUUGUAAAAAGUUUCAGUCUACUAAUUUAUGAAGCUCUGAGAAUACAUAUAAAUUUAGGAACCGAGUCUAGCUCAGUUGGUGGGAGGUGUGGGUGAACACCUCCAUCAUCCAGGUUCAAGUCCUCUUUAACUCGAAUUUGGGUGCCUAUUUCUUAUUAUUUACAAUGUCACCUAGUUCCUCCUAGGUUGGUCAAGUUUUUUUUAGAAUACAUAUAAAUUUGACAAAUUCCUCAGCAGAAAUCGUGGUACUAGAAAGGAUGCUGAGGCAGAAACACUGUUUCCCAUGGUCAUCUCACUUGCUCUUAUUGAUCUUAGGAAUGCAUGCAACGGACAGCUGUUGGCAUGAAAACAUAUAAUGACGAGAUUCUAAAACAGAAUUUGAAGAUGUUAUGCUUUUUGGCCAGAAGUUUGUUGAGAAGCUUUGGAAAUAUACAAAGAGAAUUCAGGUUCAUCAGUUGUCCAGAGAAGAUACAAGGUCCUGUUGUUGAGAUUCAAGCAUUGGCCAGCCCUAAUUGUAACAAAGAGAAGUUAUACAGGCAAGGAUGUAAACAUAACUGGAUGAAUUGCCACUUGCAGUACAUAUCUGGAGUGAACCGGAAUGCUUAUCAAAUUCAGCGAGCGGGCGUUAUCAUUUCUAUAUCGAACAUCAUCGGUUGUUUGAGUCUAUGAUCGACGUUGGAAUAGAGUAACUACCAGCUUUUGGCACUUUGCUGAUCAGAAAAGGAUCCGUCGAGUUCAGUGGUUGGGAAGGAUCCAAACCGAGCAUAGCAUUCUUAAUUUUGUCCUGAACCCGAAGCACGUUAACCUUUGUCUGUGCUUGAGCCUGAUGUUUGGACAAACCAUGGCGGUCCUUUUACUCUUUUUCCUGAGAGGAGUUCAUGCUCGUGUUGGGAUUCAGUGAGCAGCAUUCGACUCUUCUCGCUUCGUUGCCGCUGCACAUCAGCAGAGCGCGGGUGUGCCUCAAUCUUCAUCAGACGUGAACGGAUGCUGUUACGCAUGAUGGUGUGCGUCGUCUGCAUCGUUGUGGCCGAGACAUCACGCGGCCUGCUGUCACAUACCUCAAGUGCCUGACAAGAAUUACUCAACGAUUGUAUUGGAUCUCACUCACUCCAGGAUACAAUUCAGAGGUAAUAGAGAUGGACGGAGGAGGGAGGGGUAGAAGAGAGGAUACGUAAGUUCGAGAAGGUUCCAAGAAGAGGCACAGGAGAGGGAGGAGAGGUGGAAGAAGGGCAGUUAAACAUUCUAUUCGGUACCCUUCUCGGUCGCUGCUUGCCUUUUGUAGUCCACACCUUUCCCGGUGGCUAGCCCACAUGUCAGCCUACUCCUUUGGGCCCGUUUGGUUGGUAACUAGCUUUGCUAUAAAACUUUAUCUAAGGUUAGUCUUGUCACACUUUUUUUUAAAAAAAAUGACCGAUUAACAUUAGAAAAGCUUUGACAAAAAAAGAAAAAUUCUAUGAUGAGUGGACUAGGAAGCUAAGAAGUUAGGUAAGCUGAAAUU